rnacentral:piRNA from 1 species
UCAUUUAGUUUUUGUUCACAAAAAGAGGUC